rnacentral:rRNA from 1 species
GGAUGAACGCUAGCGACAGGCUUAACACAUGCAAGUCGAGGGGCAGCACAGGUAGCAAUACCGGGUGGCGACCGGCGCACGGGUGAGUAACGCGUAUGCAACUUGCCUAUCAGAGGGGGAUAACCCGGCGAAAGUCGGACUAAUACCGCAUGAAGCAGGGAUCCCGCAUGGGAAUAUUUGCUAAAGAUUCAUCGCUGAUAGAUAGGCAUGCGUUCCAUUAGGCAGUUGGCGGGGUAACGGCCCACCAAACCGACGAUGGAUAGGGGUUCUGAGAGGAAGGUCCCCCACAUUGGUACUGAGACACGGACCAAACUCCUACGGGAGGCAGCAGUGAGGAAUAUUGGUCAAUGGCCGAGAGGCUGAACCAGCCAAGUCGCGUGAGGGAUGAAGGUUCUAUGGAUCGUAAACCUCUUUUAUAAGGGAAUAAAGUGCGGGACGUGUCCCGUUUUGUAUGUACCUUAUGAAUAAGGAUCGGCUAACUCCGUGCCAGCAGCCGCGGUAAUACGGAGGAUCCGAGCGUUAUCCGGAUUUAUUGGGUUUAAAGGGUGCGUAGGCGGCCUUUUAAGUCAGCGGUGAAAGUCUGUGGCUCAACCAUAGAAUUGCCGUUGAAACUGGGGGGCUUGAGUAUGUUUGAGGCAGGCGGAAUGCGUGGUGUAGCGGUGAAAUGCAUAGAUAUCACGCAGAACCCCGAUUGCGAAGGCAGCCUGCCAAGCCAUUACUGACGCUGAUGCACGAAAGCGUGGGGAUCAAACAGGAUUAGAUACCCUGGUAGUCCACGCAGUAAACGAUGAUCACUAGCUGUUUGCGAUACACUGUAAGCGGCACAGCGAAAGCGUUAAGUGAUCCACCUGGGGAGUACGCCGGCAACGGUGAAACUCAAAGGAAUUGACGGGGGCCCGCACAAGCGGAGGAACAUGUGGUUUAAUUCGAUGAUACGCGAGGAACCUUACCCGGGUUUGAACGCAUUCGGACCGAGGUGGAAACACCUUUUCUAGCAAUAGCCGUUUGCGAGGUGCUGCAUGGUUGUCGUCAGCUCGUGCCGUGAGGUGUCGGCUUAAGUGCCAUAACGAGCGCAACCCUUGCCACUAGUUACUAACAGGUGAUGCUGAGGACUCUGGUGGGACUGCCAGCGUAAGCUGCGAGGAAGGCGGGGAUGACGUCAAAUCAGCACGGCCCUUACAUCCGGGGCGACACACGUGUUACAAUGGCGUGGACAAAGGGAGGCCACCUGGCGACAGGGAGCGAAUCCCCAAACCACGUCUCAGUUCGGAUCAGAGUCUGCAACCCGACUCCGUGAAGCUGGAUUCGCUAGUAAUCGCGCAUCAGCCAUGGCGCGGUGAAUACGUUCCCGGGCCUUGUACACACCGCCCGUCAAGCCAUGGGAGCCGGGGGUACCUGAAGUCCGUAACCGCGAGGAUCGGCCUAGGGUAAAACUGGUG